rnacentral:tRNA from 1 species
GCUAACGUAGCUUAACUAAAGCACAACACUGAAGAUGUUGAGAUAAACCCUAGAAAGUUUCGUGAGCA